rnacentral:lncRNA from 1 species
AAACUUCAGAAUUUAUGAAAUCUCGUCUAAAUUUGAGGACAUUAUAGUCUUCCACAAAAAAUUUGAUUCAAACUUACAGCAUAAAAAUAGCAUUCCUACAAACUUUAAUUCAUCAAAUAGUAGGAUGAAUCUGUAAAUCUCAGCAAAUUCAUCGUAGUGUAGUUCCAGAAAUUACGAAAUAAGGAAGAAAAAAAAAAGCAAGGUAGGAAUUGUUGAUGCAAAAAACGGAGAAGGAUAAAGGAUACCGUCCGAAAGAGCGUAAUGCCAUUGCGAUGAAGAGAGACGGCAGUCAUCGCCGGAAGAGAAGAGAAAGAGAGGCGACAACCCCUUCUUCCCCAAACCACCUCUGCCAUCCUUCUCUUUCCUAAACCCUAAAUUAUUUUCUGAAAAUCUUCGCUUUCUUACUCCUCGCUUAAUUUCCAUUGUAUCUGGUUGGAUGAAUUAGGGUAUUAUGGGAAGACGAGCAAAUUAGAAGAGUUUGCGUUUUUCAAAAAAUAGUCAUUCAUUAGCGUCUUUAUGAAAUCGGCUUUUCCAAGCUGCUCUUGCUCUCAUGUGAUUUUUCGCUAUAAGGCUGGGCGGAGUAAUCACAGCAUUUGCCGAACUCCAUAUCUAAAAAAAAUGGGGUAAGAAGUUAGGAAGAGGAAGAAGAGAGAGACUCGAGUUGCCCUUCCAAGCUCAGUAUGACAUACCGAGUUCAAGGGCGGUGUUCGUCGAGUCCAUGUCAUCACUGCCGAAUCGCUCUGUGAAGUCUAAAAAUCUGAAAUCUUUCAUGGAUAUGGAGGGAAUGUGAGGAUGAUACUUAAAAUUUUCAUUUUGAGAGAAA